UCACCCUCUGGCAUGGAGCAAGUCCCUGGGUUGCUCAAAUUUGGUCUUCCCUUGGCUUCUUGUUCAAGACAUAGGCAUAACAGGUGGCAGACAGGCCUGUCCCACUGAAUACUAGAAUCUGUUGACCACAGCAAGUUAGUGAUCCAUGAGAGGACCUUCCCAUCUUACGUUUACUUAAGAGCAUUUGGUGAGGGACCUUGUCAAAGUCUUUCUGAAAAUAAGCCCACAGUUCCCACAGGACCAGCAUUUGCAAGACUAAACCAGCAUUUUGAAACUUUCAGGAAGUUUUCCAAGUCAGUCUGUGGACUAAAAAAUUCCAAAUGUAUAAUCUGAUCUGCUUGUGCUAAGCCAUACAUACAGUGCAGAAUCCAGAAGUGAUUUUACAGUACAAUGUUUUAAACAUUGAGCAUUUAAAAGACCAAGUGAUAAACAGUGCAAGUAAGUAGCAAAACAUUCUGAGCCGUUUGUAUGAAAGUUUCUGGGGCAGAAUGCACAAGGCCACCUCCUACAACGCACAUCACAAGACUCAUCAUGACCACCAUUUUGGAUGAUCUAUGUUGACUAAUGCUGAAGGCUGUAUUUUGACUAGCAAUAAAAGUAACUAUGGUUUCUUGAAACGUUGAUGCAAUAGUCAUAGAAUUAAAAUCAGAAGGGACCACCAGAUCGUCUAGUCUGUCCUCCAAUAUAUCACAGGCCACCAAAACCACCUACCACUUGCAUACUGAAUGCAACAACUGAAAUUAACUCAAGGUAUAGCCCUCAGGAGACUAUUGCGUGCCACAGGCAAAGAAUAGGAGAGACCAAGGACCCUGCAAGGGCAGGAAAUUUAU